UACAGAGGGUGCAAGCGUUUGUUCGGAAUUACUGGGCGUAAAGCGUGCGUAGCCGGUAUUGAGAGUCGCGGGUGAAAUCCCAGGGCUUAACCCUGGAACUGCCUGCGAGACCUCAGUACUAGAGUGUGAGAGGGGAUAGUGGAAUACCAAGUGUAGCGGUGAAAUGCGUAGAGAUUUGGUGGAACACCGGUGGCGAAGGCGGCUAUCUGGCUCACAACUGACGAUCAGGCACGAAAGCGUGGGGAGCAAACAGGG
rnacentral:rRNA from 1 species